rnacentral:piRNA from 1 species
UGUGGAACUGGUUGUCCAUUGUUUGGGCCU